AAUUAAUUUUUUAUUUAAGAUUUAAUUUAAGUUUAAGUUAAGUUAAAUCAGUUUAAAUUUUACUCGGCCAUGAAGUUUAUUUUCUUAUUGUCACGCCCCGGAUUACACGUUUUCCGGGCACGUCGACAAAUCCGCCGUAUACAAAGAAAUUUUUUCUGUAUACGAAGCGAUAGUUGUACCUGUAAAACAUACAAUACUACAAACAGUAGUAUAAAGCUCCUAGAAGAACCAGUAACAAAAACAAACCGAGUUCCAUAUACAUACGCCAAAUCUCAGAUACAAAACUAUUCGCACUGACGAGUUACACGUCUGUAUGUACAUGAAC
rnacentral:lncRNA from 1 species